CGAAAUAAUUUCCGUAUGCAAGUGACCUUAGCGUGACCCUUCGCUUAAAAAUCCGGUUAACGCAAUUCGCAUGGAAAUGUCAUUUAAAUAAACUAUUAUCUGAAAGAACAUGUUAUACACGUGCUCAAUGUCCAUGUUUCUUUUGUUGUUGUUUACUAUAAGUUAACAAUUGGUUAACUACGGCUUCAAAACACGACAAUUAAGUAGCUGUCAUAUUUUUACCUAUGAUAACAGACAAAGAGAAAAACAUGACGAUUAUACGAUAUUUUUGCGAAAAAAACUGAUAAAAUCGUACACACAAGACUACGUUGACGUUUCAAAUAUAAAUAAAUUAUACCGCUGUUCAAAACUCAUAAAUCCAUGGACAAAAUACUAAAUCGAGGUAACAAACUAAAACCGAGGGAAACGCAUUAAAUAUAAGAGGAGAACAACGACACAACACCGAAACGCAACACACACAGAAACGGACCAAGCAUCAGACAAAAUCGCACGAGAAUAACAAAUAUAACAUCUAAACCAAAUACAUGAAUUCGGGAUAAACAAUUAUGACUUUAAUCCCUUAUAGGAGUUCUAGUGGGAAAUUGCAUUGUCUAUAUUUACAGAAUUGCAACCAUAAGUUAUAGUUUAUGUUUAUAAUAUCUAUAAAUAAACUAAUCAUAGAUUCCAGGAUUAAGUUUUGUAUUUACGCCAGAAACGCGAUCCGUCUACAAAAGACUUAUCAGUGACGCUCGAAUCAAAAAAGUUAAAAAGGCCAAAAAAAGGUACGAAGCUGAAGAGCAUAGAGGACCAAAACUAAAGGUUUGCCAAAAACAGCUAAAGUUGUCUAUUCCUGAGGUAGAGAAGCCUUAGUAUUUAAAAAAAUCAAAAGUUUUGUAAAUUAAACAUACCUAUUUAUUAAUCUGUGUAAAAUUGGAUUCAUCAGGGAGCUGCCAGAAACCAUACCAGAAGAUCGGGAAUGGCUGUUAUUCCAUCUACGACGACAACAUAUCUGGGGAUGAAGCAUUUGCAAGCUGUACAGACCCUGGUGCGUACCUGGCUAACUUUGAAACACUUGAAGAAGCAAUGUUCAUGAAAUUAUUCCUUCAGAGGAAUAAGACAGGUAUUUCCUACUUCGUUGGUGGACGUAACGUCAAUAGAUACCUUUCAAGUGGCGAUUGGAGAUGGAUUAAACAUGGCAACGCAACAAAGAUGACAUACUUUGCGUUUGCUCCGGGACAACCUUCUUGGUCAGCUGAAAAGGGGGAAGACUGCAUGUUCUUCUACGCUUAUGGCAAAUACCAGUUCUUUAAUGUGAUGUGUGACAAUGGACAUUUUCU